rnacentral:rRNA from 1 species
UGCCUAACACAUGCAAGUCGAGCGAGAAAAGGGACUUCGGUUCCUGAGUAGAGCGGCGCACGGGUGAGUAACGCGUGGAUAAUCUACCCCAUGGAUUCGGGAUAACAGUGGGAAACCGCUGCUAAUACCGGAUACGCUUUUGCAUUUUGGAGAUGCAAGAGGAAAGGCGGCCUCUGAUUCAAGCUGCCGUCAAUGGAUGAGUCCGCGUCCCAUUAGCUUGUUGGUGGGGUAAAGGCCUACCAAGGCGACGAUGGGUAGCCGGCCUGAGAGGGUGGCCGGCCACACUGGAACUGAAACACGGUCCAGACUCCUACGGGAGGCAGCAGUGGGGAAUAUUGCGCAAUGGGCGAAAGCCUGACGCAGCAACGCCGCGUGAGGGAAGAAGGCCUUCGGGUCGUAAACCUCUGUCAGGAGGGAAGAACUGCAUGGGGUCGAACAGGCCCUGUGUUUGACGGUACCUCCAAAGGAAGCACCGGCUAACUCCGUGCCAGCAGCCGCGGUAAUACGGAGGGUGCAAGCGUUAUUCGGAAUUACUGGGCGUAAAGCGCGUGUAGGCGGCCUUGUAAGUCAGGUGUGAAAUCCCACGGCUCAACCGUGGAACUGCACUUGAAACUGCUUGGCUCGAGUACUGGAGAGGGUGGCGGAAUUCCCGGU